rnacentral:tRNA from 1 species
GUCCUCCUGUGGCGCAGUGGGUCAGUGGGUCUGGCUGUUAACCAGAAGGUUGGUGGUUUGAGCCCACCCAGGGAUG